rnacentral:rRNA from 6 species
AUCCGGGUUGCGGACAGUGUCUGGUGGGUAGUUUGACUGGGGCGGUCUCCUCCUAAAGAGUAACGGAGGAGCACGAAGGUUGGCUAAUCCUGGUCGGACAUCAGGAGGUUAGUGCAAUGGCAUAAGCCAGCUUGACUGCGAGCGUGACGGCGCGAGCAGGUGCGAAAGCAGGUCAUAGUGAUCCGGUGGUUCUGAAUGGAAGGGCCAUCGCUCAACGGAUAAAAGGUACUCCGGGGAUAACAGGCUGAUACCGCCCAAGAGUUCAUAUCGACGGCGGUGUUUGGCACCUCGAUGUCGGCUCAUCACAUCCUGGGGCUGAAGUAGGUCCCAAGGGUAUGGCUGUUCGCCAUUUAAAGUGGUACGCGAGCUGGGUUUAGAACGUCGUGAGACAGUUCGGUCCCUAUCUGCCGUGGGCGCUGGAGAACUGAGGGGGGCUGCUCCUAGUACGAGAGGACCGGAGUGGACGCAUCACUGGUGUUCGGGUUGUCAUGCCAAUGGCACUGCCCGGUAGCUAAAUGCGGAAGAGAUAAGUGCUGAAAGCAUCUAAGCACGAAACUUGCCCCGAG